rnacentral:rRNA from 1 species
GUCUAUAGCCAUACCACCCUGAACGCACCCGAUCUGGUUUGAUCUCAGAAGCUAAGCAAGAUUGAGCCUCGUUAGCACUUGAACCCAGGCAGGAGGAUUCUAGAAACC